CAGAACUUCAUCGCAAAAGAAGAACUAUUAAAUGGAGAUGAGACUGACUCGCGUUGCUUCACGGCCGCCCAAGAAUAUUCUGCACACAAGAAUCGCUGAUCCCGGGUCGAGGUGCUGCUCCUUAGCUUUUUGAUGGGGGUCGUCCUCGUACCUAAUGACACAUAACAUCGUUUGAUGAGGUACGCGAGCACGAUGUCGUGCCCAUGAGGAUAACCGUAGGACCCUCCGCAUCAACAUGUCAAUUUAGUAGAUAUUCUUUGGAAUUGGCACAAAGAAAGCAGAGAAACAAGGUGGAGUAGGAAAACAUCCCUGGUUUUCAGGCGUGUGACGGUAAGCUUGUAAUCUGGGAUACCGUAUGCAUCAACGUAGGCAUAUAUCUGAACACCAAAGGCAAAGAUCGGUGUAUGCUCUACUCUACUUUGUCCAUUAAAAC